UAUUGGACAAUGGGUGAGAGCCUGAUCCAGCCAUCCCGCGUGCAGGAAGACGGCCUUAUGGGUUGUAAACUGCUUUUAUACAGGAAUAAACCAUCUUACGAGUAGGGUGUUGAAGGUACUGUAUGAAUAAGCACCGGCUAACUCCGUGCCAGCAGCCGCGGUAAUACGGAGGGUGCAAGCGUUAUCCGGAUUUAUUGGGUUUAAAGGGUCCGCAGGCGGGUCUGUAAGUCAGGGGUGAAAUCCGGCAGCUUAACUGUCGAACUGCCUUUGAUACUGCAGGUCUUGAGUGGGAAUGAAGCAGCUGGAAUGUGUGGUGUAGCGGUGAAAUGCAUAGAUAUCACACAGAACACCGAUAGCGAAGGCAGGUUGCUAAUUCUCAACUGACGCUGAGGGACGAAAGCGUGGGGAGCGAACAGGA
rnacentral:rRNA from 1 species